GACGAACGCUGGCGGCGUGCUUAACACAUGCAAGUCGAACGAUGAAGCUAGAGCUUGCUCUGGUGGAUUAGUGGCGAACGGGUGAGUAACACGUGAGUAACCUGCCCCGAACUCUGGGAUAACUGCUGGAAACGGUAGCUAAUACCGGAUAUGACCAAUGAAGGCAUCUUCUGUUGGUGGAAAGAUUUUCGGUUCGGGAUGGACUCGCGGCCUAUCAGCUUGAUGGUGAGGUAACGGCUCACCAAGGCGACGACGGGUAGCCGGCCUGAGAGGGUGAUCGGCCACACUGGGACUGAGACACGGCCCAGACUCCUACGGGAGGCAGCAGUGGGGAAUAUUGCACAAUGGGCGCAAGCCUGAUGCAGCAACGCCGCGUGAGGGACGACGGCCUUCGGGUUGUAAACCUCUUUUAGUAGGGAAGAAGCGAAAGUGACGGUACCUGCAGAAAAAGCACCGGCUAACUACGUGCCAGCCGCCGCCGUAA
rnacentral:rRNA from 1 species